AUACGGAGGAUGCGAGCGUUAUCCGGAUUUAUUGGGUUUAAAGGGAGCGUAGGUGGAUUGUUAAGUCAGUUGUGAAAGUUUGCGGCUCAACCGUAAAAUUGCAGUUGAAACUGGCAGUCUUGAGUACAGUAGAGGUGGGCGGAAUUCGUGGUGUAGCGGUGAAAUGCUUAGAUAUCACGAAGAACUCCGAUUGCGAAGGCAGCUCACUAGACUGUUACUGACACUGAUGCUCGAAAGUGUGGGUAUCAAGCAGGAUUAGAUACCCUGGUAGUCCACACAGUAAACGAUGAAUACUCGCUGUUUGCGAUAUACAGUAAGCGGCCAAGCGAAAGCAUUAAGUAUUCCACCUGGGGAGUACGCCGGCAACGGUGUAACUCAAAGGAAUUGACGGGG
rnacentral:rRNA from 1 species